GAGCCCACUGGUUAAUUUAUUAGUUAGGAAAAUUUCCUCUAUUUCAUUGUAAUCUUGCCAUAAUACCUUUGCCUAGCUUUUUUUUUUUAAAAAAAAAAAAGUUGAGUCUAAUAUUCAUGCUCGGACAUGCUGCUAUGCUCCUUCCAACGCGAUGGAGAUAAGAGCUCUUAUGAAUGUGUUGAGCCAGGCCCUGCUGGAUUCCAUGAACGGGUUGGCAGACAUCUCUACUCCCAUGCCAGAAACCACAGCACCCGCGCUUGCUUCUGCAGUGCAUGGUUACAUGCUUCUUCAUGAUAUUCUUGCCCAAGACUCUUAGACAAUCCUCAAAAACUAUUUGCAGGAGGGUGCCUUCAUAUAGCAGCUACAAAGAGGUGUAGAAAGCACAUGGUGGAAACUAACGAGUUUUUGCCAACAAGUUCAGAAGGUUUUCUUAUGGAUUCAGUAACUAUCUCAACGGCAUAUGUUACAUCAACAUAAGCAACGAAAUCUAGGCACAUAUCAAAUUUCAC